CAAGGCCUUGCGCUCUUUGAGCGGCCGAUGUCAGAUUAGCUAGUUGGUGAGGUAAAGGCUUACCAAGGCGACGAUCUGUAGCGGGUCUGAGAGGAUGUUCCGCCACACUGGAACUGAGACACGGUCCAGACUCCUACGGGAGGCAGCAGUGGGGAAUUUUGGACAAUGGGGGCAACCCUGAUCCAGCCAUGCCGCGUGAGUGAAGAAGGCCUUCGGGUUGUAAAGCUCUUUCGGCCGGGAAGAAAUCGCAUGGGCCAAUACCCUGUGUGGAUGACGGUACCGGAAUAAGAAGCACCGGCUAACUACGUGCCAGCAGCCGCGGUAAUACGUAGGGUGCGAGCGUUAAUCGGAAUUACUGGGCGUAAAGCGUGCGCAGGCGGUUUUGUAAGACAGGCGUGAAAUCCUCGGGCUUAACCUGGGAACUGCGUUUGUGACUGCAAGGCUAGAGUACGGCAGAGGGGGGUGGAAUUCCACGUGUAGCAGUGAAAUGCGUAGAGAUGUGGAGGAACACCAAUGGCAAGGCAGCCCCCUGGGUCGAUACUGACGCUCAUGCACGAAAGCGUGGGUAGCAAACAGGAUUAGAUACCCUGGUAGUCCACGCCCUAAACCAUGUCAACUAGGUGUUGGGUGGGUAAAACCAUUUAGUACCGUAGCUAACGCGUGAAGUUGACCGCCUGGGGAGUACGGCCGCAAGGUUAAAACUCAAAGGAAUUGACGGGGACCCGCACAAGCGGUGGAUGAUGUGGAUUAAUUCGAUGCAACGCGAAAAACCUUACCUACCCUUGACAUGCCAGGAACUUGCCAGAGAUGGCUUGGUGCCCGAAAGGGAGCCUGAACACAGGUGCUGCAUGGCUGUCGUCAGCUCGUGUCGUGAGAUGUUGGGUUAAGUCCCGCAACGAGCGCAACCCUUGUCGUUAAUUGCCAUCAUUUAGUUGGGCACUUUAACGAGACUGCCGGUGACAAACCGGAGGAAGGUGGGGAUGACGUCAAGUCCUCAUGGCCCUUAUGGGUAGGGCUUCACACGUCAUGCAAUGGUCGGUACAAAGGGUUGCCAAGCCGCGAGGCGGAGCCAAUCCCAGAAAGCCGAUCGUAGUCCGGAUUGCAGGCUGCAACUCGCCUGCAUGAAGUCGGAAUCGCUAGUAAUCGUGGAUCAGCAUGUCACGGUGAAUACGUUCCCGGGUCUUGUACACACCGCCCGUCACACCAUGGGAGCGGGUUCCGCCAGAAGUAGGUAGCCUAACCGCAAGGGGGGCGCUUACCACGGCGGGGUUCGUGACUGGGGUGAAGUCGGAACAAGGUA
rnacentral:rRNA from 1 species